rnacentral:rRNA from 1 species
GACGAACGCUGGCGGCGUGCUUAAUACAUGCAAGUCGAACGGAAAGGCCCUGCCUUUGUGGGGUGCUCGAGUGGCGAACGGGUGAGUAACACGUGAGUAACCUGCCCUUGACUUUGGGAUAACUUCAGGAAACUGGGGCUAAUACCGGAUAGGAGUUCAUGUUGCAUGGCGGGGGUUGGAAAGUUUCGGUGGUUGGGGUUGGACUUGCGGCUGCUUAGCUUGUGGGUGGGGGAGUGGUGUCGCAAGGCUUUGACGGGUAGCCGGCCUGGGAGGGUGACCGGCCACAUACGCCCAGGGAAACGACCCGGAGGCCAUCGGGGGCCAGCGGUGGGAAAUAGAGCGCACAGGGCCGAGUCCUGAAACAACAACGUCGGGUCCGGAAGCUCGGCCGUCAGGUUGGAACCCGCUUGCGCCUGGAACGUACCCUGUGUGACGGUAUCUGAUAAGAAAGCACCGGCUAACUACGUG